UACGUAGGUGACCAGCGUUGUCCGGAUUUACUGGGCGUAAAGAGCGCGCAGGCGGUCGUUUCAAGUCGAGUGUGAAAGCCCCCGGCUCAACUGGGGAGGGUCACUUGAUACUGAUCGACUGGAAGGCAGGAGAGGGAAGCGGAAUUCCCGGUGUAGUGGUGAAAUGCGUAGAGAUCGGGAGGAACACCAGAGGCGAAGGCGGCAACCUGGACAAGCACUGACACUCAACUGCGAAAGCGUGGGGAGCAAACAGG
rnacentral:rRNA from 1 species